rnacentral:lncRNA from 1 species
GGGCGCAGGGUCCUCGGCACAGCUGACGGGUGCGCGCCGAGCUCCGCCGGGCGAAGGAAUUCCAGCCCCGCAAAAUGGCUCCAGAGUGUCUCCCGUGACUCGCUCGGUGGCUGCGGAAGGCAAGAGGAAUUCUUCACUGAUUAAAAUCUGGUUACAAAACAAGGGACCUAGAGAGAUGUUCACUUCACCACUUCUCUACAGAUGCCUCCUGCUGCUUCCAAC